GAUGAACGCUGGCGGCGUGCCUAAUACAUGCAAGUCGAGCGAACAGACGAGGAGCUUGCUCCUCUGACGUUAGCGGCGGACGGGUGAGUAACACGUGGAUAACCUACCUAUAAGACUGGGAUAACUUCGGGAAACCGGAGCUAAUCCCGGAUAAUAUAUUGAACCGCAUGGUUCAAUAGUGAAAGACGGUUUUGCUGUCACUUAUAGAUGGAUCCGCGCCGCAUUAGCGAGUUGGUAAGGUAACGGCUUACCAAGGCAACGAUGCGUAGCCGACCUGAGAGCGUGAUCGGCCACACUGGAACUGAGACACGGUCCAGACUCCUACGGGAGGCAGCAGUAGGGAAUCUACCGCAAAGGGCGAAAGCCUGACGGAGCAACGGCGCGUGAGUGAUGAAGGUCUUCGGAUCGUAAAACUCUGUUAUUAGGGAAGAACAAAUGUGUAAGUAACGAUGCACGUCUUGACGGUACCGAAUCAGAAAGCCACGGCUAACUACGU
rnacentral:rRNA from 1 species